GCAGAGCGGAGGAGCAGCAGCUGCCACCGGCCGGAAGCCUGCUGGCUCGGCCGAGAACAAUGGCCGCCUGUCACUGUGGACAGCUGUCUCCCAGGCUAAGGCAAGGCUGCGCUCCCAGGGAAUGCGGGCAGGGAGCCAGGGCGGAGGGCAGAGGACGAGAGCGAGGAGGAGAGCGCGGGCACCCACUGAUGCUGGCGGCCUCGGGUAUUCGCUUUCUCUCUCUUCUCCCACCUUGUUCCUUUUCCCCGGAUGCACGCAUGCACUAGUAAUGCCGAAUUUAGAACAACAGGGAAAGGAAAGGAAAUGGCAAAGGAAGGGAAAGGAAAUGGCCGACAGGAAAUGGCAAGGAAGGGAAAAUCCACUGCAACUCUGCUGCCUGCUGGCCUGUCCAGGGACAACUAUUCAGCUGGGUGGGACGUUGCUACCCCCUUGUGGCACCCCUGCUGCAGCCUGCGAUUCUUACGCCCUGUAUUUCUGGUCUAACAUCAACCAACACUUUGGCGAAAUAUAAUAAAAUGAAAUUACUAGGAGAAUGAAAGAAAGUCACAUGAAAUAAAAGCCCUGCUUUUUAAUGAUUAUAUCCUCUGUGAAAUGGAUCUGCAGCCCUCUCCAUUUCUGGGUUCCCCUGGCCACACCAUGCUUAUGGCUGUCCCAGGAGCAGGCUGACAGACAAGCUUCCACCAGCAUCUAACCAUGGGGCUCAUGGACACCGUAGAGCGUCUCCACCCAACAGAAUCCUGACUUGGGGGCAGCUGAGGCAGGGGGCCCGAGCGUUGAGGGGACCACGCUGCUGCCCCGAGACCUGCUGGCAUGCCACCUGGCCAACCCUGACUUCGCCUGCCCGGGCGCAUGUUAACUGAGUUACAACACUGAGGGCACUUGAACCUGGCUGCAUGACCAGAGAUCGAUCACCUGUGAGAUCCUCUGUGAAACGGGAUAAGCAUCUUUAAUUUCCUGGGCUGUUCUGGAACUUCAGUCAGACAGGACACAGGAGGGUGUCUGCACCACCCACCCCUGCCUCGUGGGCUGACUGGGAACUAUAUGACCUGUGGAGGGCUGUGACCGCCACCCUCCACCUCACUGGGGCCGCAAGCCUUCUCUGCUCCUUGAUUCUGCUGCCGUUGUGAGCGAGGGCCCCAGCACCCUUAGGGACCCCAAUCAAUGGGCUUCCCACAAUGUCGUCACCCUUUGUUGCCUGCUAAGCAGCCCUGGGGCCACCUCAGAAGAAACAGAACUCACAGGUCACAGGGGCCUUUUCCUCCUCGUCAUCGUCCUCCUCCUCUUCUUCUUCCUCCCUGGGCAACUUCCUGAAUUCGGAAAGGUGGGGUUUUGCUAUGUUGUCCAGGCUGGUCUUGAACUCCUGCCCUCAAGUGAUCCUCCCAUCUCAGCCUCCCAAAGCCCUGGGAUAAUGGCGUGAGCCGCCACACCUGGCCGCCUUUGGUCUGUUUGAAGAGGGACAUGGCAUGAUCAGAUGGGGCUUUUAGGCCUCUCUGACCCUGGUGUGGAGGGUGGGCUGGCAAGAAGGGGACGACUGUCUAAAGGAGAGAGUCUAAGACCUGGGCUGGGCAGGGCCAUGGUGACAAACAGGAGCAGACAGAGUCGGGCAGUAUAAAUGGAGGGGCAGGGACAGUGUUGAAGUUUCUAUUCUGAGCAACUAGAAGGCUCGUGGUACAGUUAAUUACCCUGAUGGGGAUGGAAGAGUCAGGCAGGGGAUGGGCAAUGGGCUCUGUUUCCACAGCGACUUGUGUUCCACGGAGGUCAAGAGGCCUGAGGGCCUGCAAGAACAUGGUCUGGGCAGGAGAUGGAGCUGCGGAAUGAAUGAGGAUAGGGGGCUGAGUCCCACAGGGCCAGAGCAUGGCUAGCAAAGUGGGGAUGACUCCAGGAGUGGCCUUCUGGGUGCCACGAAGGAAAUGUUUUAAGAAGUGAGAUUGGGUCACUGCUUUCAAUGUCAUAGAACAGAGCUGAGCAGUUGAGGAGGCGUAGUGGGUAGAAAGGGAGGUCGCAGCAGGCUGAAAGCAAACCGACAGGAGGGUUAGCGUCUUUUAGCAGGUAGGCAGGGCAGAAGAGAGCCACGGGGCAGAUCAGGGAAAGAAACACUGAAGCCAUCUGUGGCUGAGAAGGAGGGCAGUGGGGAGGAGUGUCUAAAAUUCUGAGCCAUCCCUGGCUUUUCUGGGCAGAAGGGGUCGCUCCCUCAGUGGCCCUAUGGCCUCUAACAUGCAUUUUGACCCCUGGAAUCUGCCUUCUCACCCAGUGGGGGCCCUGGAAGCUGGACAACACACAUUCACCCCUGUGUGCCUGUCCCUGAGAGUGGGGGUCAGGGGAGCAUGCCUGGGGUGGCGAGGUGAUUCUGCACUGGGCCGACACUCCCGGCUUUAACUGGAAGGCGAGGACCUUCCAACAGCACAGGCUGACAGGUCUUGUUCCAUGGGGGCUGGGCACCCAAGGUAUCUACUGAUGGUCUGAGGAAUCUACCGGGAUGGAUUCCUGAUUUUUUUUUUUUUUUUUCUGAGACGGAGUUUCGCUCUAGUUGCCCAGGCUGGAGUGCAAUGGCGUGAUCUCAGCUCACCACAACCUCCACCUCUCGGGUUCAAGUGAUUCUCCUGCCUCAGCCUCCUGAGUAGCUGGGAUUACAGGCAUGAGCCACCAUGCUCAGCAGAUUCGUGAUUUUUAAAAUGAAAGGGUGACUCAUGGGAGAAGCCUCUGGAACUGCCUUUGAAAAACAACCAGCCAAGACAUGAGAAAUUAGUUCCUCUGCCAUUUGGGGGUUUCCUGCCAACUGCUGGGUUUUCCUUUUGCACAGCAGGGAGGAAGGACGCCUGUUUCCCUUGGUCCCGGUGAGGCCAGGCCUCAGCUUCCUGCCCACCCGCCACUGCUGCUGGGGCAGGGAGGCAGUUUCCGGCUGUGGGGACCCAGACAAUGCCUGGCCAAGGGCCACCAUCGUCCUCUUCCUGGACACAGCUCCCGCCUCAUCCCAGGGUCUGGCCUGGGACACGCCCUAGAGGCCCUCAGCCCUGAGUCACUGCACCAUGCAGAUCCACCCUGAUUCUGGUCCCUGCAGAGCAGGCUCCUACACAAGGCAAGAAGAUGCUCCAGGGACAAGCCAAGGUGUAUGCAAGGCCCAGGUGCCUGAGAAACACGUCUCACCGACCUUGGGGCAGGGGCUGUUACAAGAGGCUUAUAGUCUAGUGGCAGAGACAAAAACCACACUCAAAUCAUUAGUGUACGGUAUGCACUGCUCAGGGACUCAAAUAUGUGACAGGAGGCUCCAAACAAGAGCGGAGACAAGGCGUAAAUAGCCCCCUGUGGACUGGAUGUUCUGACUCCUGGAUGGCCUCCAGAAGGAUGCCUUUUACGGUCUGUGAAAGAGCUCAGGGACCAAGAUGCUCAAAGCCCUUCAUGCCCAAGAGCCCCUCCUCAGGCUGGGACACGGGAAGCAGAGCUCGGAGGUGGAACUCGUGACUGUGUAUGGGCACAUGUGAGUGCGUGUGUGUGGACAGCCAGGCUUAGUGUAGACAACGUGUGAGGCUCAGACCCCAAGUGCUGACUACACCUAUGCACAUCCACACCUGCGUGUGAAAGAAGAUGCUAGAAAAGAACAAAAAUAACUUAAAAAAUAAAUCCAAUAAGAUGGCUGGAACAUAUAACAA
rnacentral:lncRNA from 1 species